rnacentral:lncRNA from 13 species
GCGAGUAAAAAUCAAGUUUUAUCAUCGCAAUGUCGCGUAUCAUAACAAUUUUACGGCACUGCAUUUUAUUUCAAUACUUGCAGUGUACGCGUUCUAUGAAACAAAGCAAGAUACUUGCUCGCCGAAGAGCAGUAGAAACAGUUGCAGCCCCUGUUUCUCUCCUCGUCUCUUUUGUCAGCAGAUAAAGGAAUGUGCCAAUCAAGAUCGGCUUCGGGAUGGAUGUCGUCGCGAUAUCUAAUUGAUGAUUAACGACGCAGGUGAAGAAGACGUCACGACCUUGGAUCACCGUGUGAUUUUCCAAAGGAGCUAAGAACUCGGGCAAAACUUCCGGGGUGAUUUGGCCUGAAACAUUACAGCAAUGUGACACGUAAGUUUAAUUACUUUACAUUUUUUCCCUGUCGAUCACACGAAAUAAUUAUCGAAGACGGGCAUUGGAAACAUGAUGCGCGUAAUAAAAAUUAUUUUCACGGAUAAUGCAAUAAACGUGAUAUAUUCUUGAGUAUUCGGUACAAAAAUAAAUGAAAGGAUAAGUGUUAUAAAAUAUUUAGACGGCAAUGGCAUACGGGCAAUAACGAAAU